rnacentral:rRNA from 1 species
GGGGACAAAUUAAUAUAUUAUUUAUAAUAAAAAAAUUUUUAAAAAUAUUUAUAAUUAUUUUAAUUGGGGGGUUAAAGUAAUUUAUAAAGAAAAAAUUAAUAAAUUUAUAGAGAAAUAUGUAUUGUAUAAGAAUUUUGAAAUAUAAUUGAAAAUAAAAUUUAUUUAAAAGUAAUUUUAAUUUAAUGUAUCUUGUGUAUCAGAGUUUAUUUAAUAAAAUUUUAAAAAAAAAUUCUCGAAAUUAAGAGAGAUAAUUAAUUAUUAAAGUUAUUGUAGCAUAAAUAUUUUAAAUAAUUAAUUGGAAAUGAAAUGUUAAUCGUUCUUAAGUAUAUCUAGUUUUUUUAGAAAAAAAUUUAAUUUUAAAUUUAUUAUAUAUAUAUAUAUAUAUAUAUAUAUAUUAAUUAAUUAUUAAAUUAAUAUAUUAAUAAAUUUUAUAUUUUAAGGGAUAAGCUUUAAUUUAAAUUUAUAUAAUUUAUUAUUUUUUUUUUAAAAUUUAUAUGAUUUAUAUUGUUAAUUAAUUUUAAUUUAUUAUAAAUAAUUUUAUUAAAAAUAAAAUUUAAUAUAAAAUUUAUAUUUUUAUAAAAAAAAAAAUGAAUUUUAAUUAUUUAAUUUUAGUUAUAAUGAUAAAAUUAGUAUAUAAAUAAUAAAAUUAUAUUAAAAUUUUUAUUAAUUAUUUUUAAGGAAUUCGGCAAAAAUUAUAUUCACUUGUUUAUCAAAAACAUGUCUUUUUGAAAAUAAUAUAAAGUCUAAUCUGCCCACUGAUUUAAUUAUUAAAGGGCUGCAGUAUUUUGACUGUACAAAGGUAGCAUAAUCAUUAGUCAUUUAAUUGAUGACUUGUAUGAAAGAUUGGAUGAAAUAUAAACUGUCUUAAUUAUAAAAUAUAGAAUUUAAUUUUUUAAUUAAAAAGUUAAAAUAAAUAAAAAAGACGAGAAGACCCUAUAGAGUUUUAUUAAAUAAUUAAUAUUAAUUAUUUUUAAAUUAAUAAAUUUAUAUUAAUUAUUUAAUUUUAUUGGGGUGAUGAAAAAAUUAAAAUAACUUUUUUUAAAAUUUUACAUAUAUAAGUGAAUAAAUGAUCCAAAUAUUUUGAUUAUAAGAAAAAAUUACCUUAGGGAUAACAGCGUAAUUUUUUUUUUUAGUUCAAAUAAGAAAAAAAGUUUGCGACCUCGAUGUUGGAUUAAGAUAAAGUUUAAAUGCAGAAGUUUAAAAAUUUUGAUCUGUUCGAUCAUUAAAAUCUUACAUGAUCUGAGUUCAAACCGGUGUGAGCCAGGUUGGUUUCUAUCUUUUUAAAAUUGAAAUAUUUUAGUACGAAAGGAUUAAAUAUUUAAAUUAAAUUUAUUAUUUGAAUAUUAUUAAUAAAA